UAUUAUUAUUAUUAUUCUCCACUCAAACUGAUCGUGCAGCCUAAACCGUAAGGGCUAGAAAGCUGAAAUUUGGUCAGAUUGUAGUAGUCCGGCCUUCUUGUCAGAUACUGAGUCUCGACCCAAUCGGCCUAACGGGGGCGCUACAGUGCAAAAAACUAAAAUUUUGGACAUUUUUGGCCGUAAAUCGUAUACCGUUAGCCGUAGACUCAAAAACAUGGCAUUGUUGCAAUCCUUGGGUUAGCCCGAACAAAAGUGCACGGCGCCUUUUUGGGGUCUACGACGCACCGUUUUCUCGCAAAAUCGAGCUAUAUCCGAAACCUACUUUUGCGAACUAGUCCUAGGAUUUUCAACCAAUCAGAACCAAACCACUUCAGAAAUAUUCCCUGGACACUCAAUAUCAAUAAUUAUCAAAAAAAAGUUGAAAUUUCAAUUCUUACGCGAAACAGUACGCCAAAAAGCGUCUAUGCUAACGUUAGCCAAAUGCUAUUUUGACUAUAACUCUUGAAUGAAAUGAGAUAUCUUCACCAAACUCGGUACACAUAUGUAGGAGCUCAAUCUUUGGUCAAAUCAAAAAAAUAGCGCAUCUCUGCCACUUGGGGGCGCUAUAAGAUAGAAAAAACACAUAAAUUGCUAUAACUACGCAACCGUUGGCUCGAUCGACUUGAAAAUCAGUAUGCAGUGUCUUGGUCUGAAGGGGCACAAGUACCUAUGAGGACAUUUGCAUAUCUCAAAAAACAUGGCCGCCAUUGGCCAAACAAAUUUAAGCACCUAUUUGAAAGGGUUAACGGAUGUUGAUCGGAACGAAACUCGCUGGGUACGUUCGACUCAUGAACCUUAAGGUCUGUAAGAAUUUUGAAAGAAAUCGGCCACUAGUUGGCGCUAACGAGUUUUAUGGCUCUGUAAUCACGUGGUGUUUCACAUAUCAACACAAUAUGCAUAUCAUUUGAUAGAUCUCCUCGUAAUGCACAACUUUGCCUCAAGAACCAUUGCUGUCAAUCAAAUCGUUCAAUUGUUAUUCACAAAUAUGUUAAAAACCUACUUUUGCGAACUAGUCCUAGGUUUUUUGUCCGAUCGGAACCAAACCACUGCAGUAAUAUUCUGUGGACUCUGUAGAUCAAUAAUUAUUAAAAAAAUGUUGAAUUUUGUCCUUUGGUUAGCUGUAAAGGGGUAAUAUAGAAAAAGGGGUGUGGCCAAACAUACCCCAAAGCCUAUAAAACCUAAACGAAAACUCAAAACUUUAUGAAUCUCAGUGAAAUCAUGUAACAGGUGACUCUUAACAAGCAUGCAAAGUUUCAUGGAGAUCGGACCAUAGGUGGCGCUAUAACAGUAGAAAAGGUCUCAAAACACAAGAUUUAUAUGGUAAAUCGCCUCAAAUUGUUUGAAAAUGUUCAUAUAUUCACUCAAAAACACUAAAUCUUCAUAUCAUAUGAUAAAUCUCCUCAUUCUGAACAACUUUGCCUCUGGGACCAAUGUUGUCAAUAAAGCUGUUAAUUAAAUAUUCAAGAUUAUUUAAAAAAGUUACUUUGGCAUACUUGUGAUACGGUUUAAGAUGAAAAUCAAUAAAACCACUGAAGUACAA